rnacentral:rRNA from 1 species
GAGGGAGGAUGCAAGCGGUAUCAGGAAUGAUUGGGCGUAAAGAGUUCGCAGGUGGCUGUUCAAGUCUGCUGUCAAAGAACGGGGCUUAACCCUAGAAAGGCAGUGGAAUCUGAACGGCUGGAGUGCAGUAGGUGUAGAGGGAAUUCCCAGUGUAGCGGUGAAAUGCGUAGAGAUUGGGAAGAACACCGGUGGCGAAAGCGCUCUGCUGGACUGCAACUGACACUGAGGGACGAAAGCUAGGGGAGCGAAAGGG